UGCUUUAUUCCGCGCGCUACAAUGAUCCAUAUGUUUAGUUCACCGUUUAGGUGAUUCUACAGCUUAGCUAUUACAACCUCAUUCCCUCACAUCUUGUAAUAGCUAUUCAGCAGAGAGGUCUCUGACUUGCUAUUCAACACAAAACCUGAAUACAUUUUCAGAUUUUGGGACCAAAAUAGACUGCUUUCUUCUCCCAAAAAUCUGCUCCAGAUUUCUUCCAACCUUUUUCCCCAAAUCAAGCAUUCAUACAUCCGUCCUUCAUCUUCAUCUCCUCAAAGAAUUUCAGAUCCCUUGGAAGAAGGUUUCAAGCUUCGCCCCAUUGCUAAUAGAGGCCAGCUUGUUAAAAAGUUUGGCAUUGAUCAUAACGAUGCUUUUGCAUUCUGGGACUGGGUUGGCGGUCAUUACAGUGGUUAGUUUUUAUCAAUAUCUUUGGUUACUGUUAGUUUUUAUCAAUAUCUUUGGUUACUGUUAAGGAUUAAGACCUUUUGUAGUAGAGCUGUGGAAGAUAAUUAGCCAUGAAGUAAAUUCUAUUCCCAAGCCGUGCACAAUCUCAAGUUUACAGUAUCAAAAUGCCUUGUAUUUGUGCCAGUUAAAAAAAAUUCUAACUACCUAUUUCAUCCUACUUAACCAAUCCGGCUCAGUCAACUAAGUCAUAUUGAAUUGUCUGUUAUUACCUUCUCUCCAAAUCAAACAAAUGUAUGCAUUCCAUCCUGUUCUCGGCAAGAUGGAUAUAAGAGCCUUUCCUCUUAGUUUAACAGUCACCCAUUGCAACUCCUGCUGCAAACUCUCAACUGAUUUUUGAAUCUGGCCCCCUCCCGUACUGCUCCCAAGUAUCUACACUCAAAAAACAGAUGAUCCUUUGUCUCCAGCUCCAAGCCAAAAAAAUUGCACCUGCCAUCAAUAUUUUGCCCUCUCCUUAUAAUUCUAUCCUUAGUAAGCAGUCUGUUUUGAACAGCCAACCAAGACACCAAAGAAAGCUUUGGUAUAUGAAAUGGGUACCAAAGCUGCCGAAUACUGAUUUUUAUCAGCCCUGCCACUUAUCAUAUUCCAUAUGUUGCCAACUAUAAACUUUUGGCCGUGAAAUAUCCAUGCACCUGUCUGUGUAGGUUAAUGAACUGAGCUGCUAAGCUUCUCAACUUGAGCAGCGUCUUCCAACACCAACAGCUACUGUUGGAUCUCUGCAACCGCAUAAAAGGACUACCCUUAUUGUGGUUGUGCUGCAUUCACUUUUCGAAUUUCUAUAACUUGUAAAUUAUGGUUUAUAGUGUCCAUUAGGAGUCUGUAUCUGAUAGGUGAUGUUGAUCUGUGCAAUUUAAAGAGUAUCUCAUUGUUCUAAGGAAAUAAAUCACUUCAAAUAUAACAAACAGAACUUAAGGAUGAAAA